AAUAGCGUAUAUUAAAGUUGCUGCAGUUAAAAAGCUCGUAGUUGAACUUCAUGAGCAGUAGGUAGCUUACUACCUGCUCUCUACCAGUCUUUCGACUGUUACUGUGAGAAAAUUAGAGUGUUUCAAGCAGGCUAUUGCAGGAAUACAUUAGCAUGGAAUAACGAAUGUACCUACAAUUUGGUUAAUUGUAGAUUACUAUUAAUAGGGACAGUUGGGGGCAUUAGUAUUUAAUUGUCAGAGGUGAAAUUCUUGGAUUUGUUAAAGACUAACGUAUGCGAAAGCAUUUGCCAAGGAUGUUUUCAUAAUCAAGAACGAAAGAUAGGGGAUCAAAGACGAUCAGAUACCGUCGUAGUCCUAUCUAUAAACUAUGCCGACUAGGGAUUGGAAUGAUCUGCAUCAUUUCAGUACCUUAUGAGAAAU
rnacentral:rRNA from 1 species